GGGACGACUCCUGUGUCUCUUCUCCUGAAGAAUGAUGAAUAACUCAACACCUCCACGGCAACCUCCACGGCAACUGACUCCUAAUCAUGAAUAUUCACAACCUGCCUGGCUGGGACGGCCCUCUCUGGACUGCAGUGAUGAGAAAGAGAGAGCGAGGGGAAAUUAGAGAGAAGAUCUGCUACCGCCUUAACCUGAGAGCGGAUCAGGUAGGAAAUGAAUGCAGGAGAAUAUGAUGGAGCGAGAGGAAGAUGGAUGGAUGAACAGUAGGAGCGAUUUCCACAUCCGCUUUAUAUCUGCGGACCCUCAUAAGCAUGAACACACACACAAACACAUACACAGGAGCAUUGAUUGCAUGUGUCCGAUCUGCUCUGGGGAAAGAAGAGUCCUCAUGGAUUAGUUUGUACGAUUGAUCUUGAAGGAAACAAAAGCAAGACAUUUCUCCUGCUCUUUCUCCAUCUCUGUUUCGCUUUCUCUGAAUCGACAUCUUUGGAUUAGUGGAAAGAAUGGAGGGAUAAGAAGUGGAUAAGAAAAAGAGAGAUGUGCUAUUUUCCCAGGAGUUCUGGUGGAUGGCACCACACCCGAGGAAUCAGAGACAGAGAAACAAAAGCUCUUUUAUCCCAAGGGAAAUGUGUAUGUGUGUGUGUAUGUGUUAAAACUGCCUGCUGCUAUUGGCCUUGGACUGAAGAUGUUACCCUAAAUGUGCUGGCUUGUGGAUUUCAACAGGCUCACCUGCCGAUAGGGAAUUCUUGAUGUUGUGACACUUGAGUCUUCAAUAUUGUUGAAAAGUUCCUCUCUGUAACUUCUCUUAUUUUCUGAUUUUUCCUCCAAUAUGACAGUUAGUAGCUUAUAAGCCGUGAUGCCUGCAAUCUUGGAAAAAACUACAAUACUGUGAAGCUAUUGCUUCCUGAGCUAUAAGCCACUUAUAAUAUGAAGUUAACUCAUUUAAACUCAUUUAAAUACCUUUUAAAUAUCUAGACAAAGACUAAAUUAGGCACAAACCAAUUUUAAAUCAACCAAAUGUGUUUUAAACGCUUGGAAACACAAGGCGCGACGCACUGCCUUUUAAAAAAAGAGCAGUGCGACGCAGCUUUUUAUAUUGCUAGGCAACCAACGAGUCAGCUGUCUUGUCAAUCAAAUAUUGAAGCGUGAGCGCUCUUUUGCUGUUAACUGUCAUAUUAGCAGAAACUUUAAAAAGAGUCUGACCUUGUUUGAGGGUGAGAGAUGCACAAAUCAUGCAGGAGAGAGUGAGCGAGUGAGUCCGGUUCUUCAAAGCAACUGUAAUCUUCCCUCACCACAACGUUAGGCCCGCCUCUCCCCUAAUUCGAUUGGUCAAGACGCAAAUGACGUCGGCUGCUUUUACACUCUCAACGCUCCUUCUAAAACACGUGCUGCUCAUUAAACCGCAAGGCUUUUGGCCCGCAUAAACAGCGCGCAUACGCUCACUGCCCAUAGAAUACAAUUCAAAAAAGGCGCUUGCAACUGAUAUAAACGCGUUUGGUGUGAUUGGCCUCUUAGGGGGUGUGCACACCAAAG